UACGGAGGGUGCAAGCGUUAUCCGGAUUUAUUGGGUUUAAAGGGUCCGUAGGCGGACCUAUAAGUCAGUGGUGAAAUCCUGCAGCUCAACUGUAGAACUGCCAUUGAUACUGUAGGUCUUGAAUUCGGUUGAAGUGGGCGGAAUAUGGCAUGUAGCGGUGAAAUGCUUAGAUAUGCCAUAGAACACCGAUUGCGUAGGCAGCUCACUAAGCCUGGAUUGACGCUGAGGGACGAAAGCGUGGGUAGCGAACAGG
rnacentral:rRNA from 1 species